rnacentral:rRNA from 1 species
UGGGGAAUAUUGGACAAUGGAGGAAACUCUGAUCCAGCAAUUCUGUGUGUGUGAAGAAGGUUUUAGGACUGUAAAACACUUUUAGUAGGGAAGAAAAAAAUGACGGUACCUACAGAAGAAGCAACGGCUAAAUACGUGCCAGCAGCCGCGGUAAUACGUAUGUUGCGAGCGUUAUCCGGAAUUAUUGGGCUUAAAGGGCAUCUAGGCGGUAAGACAAGUUGAAGGUGAAAACCUGUGGCUCAACCAUAGGCUUGCCUACAAAACUGUUGAACUAGAGUACUGGAAAGGUGGGUGGAACUACACGAGUAGAGGUGAAAUUCGUAGAUAUGUGUAGGAAUGCCGAUGAUGAAGAUAACUCACUGGGCAGAAACUGACGCUGAAGUGCGAAAGCUAGGGGAGCAAACAGG